GACGAACGCUGGCGGCGUGCUUAACACAUGCAAGUCGAACGGAAAGGCUCCAGUUUGCUGGAGUGCUCGAGUGGCGAACGGGUGAGUAACACGUGGGCAAUCUGCCCUGCACUCUGGGAUAAGCCUGGGAAACUGGGUCUAAUACCGGAUAGGACCUUUCGCCUCAUGGGGGUUGGUGGAAAGUUUGUCGGUGCGGGAUGAGCCCGCGGCCUAUCAGCUUGUUGGUGGGGUAAUGGCCUACCAAGGCGACGACGGGUAGCCGGCCUGAGAGGGUGACCGGCCACAUUGGGACUGAGAUACGGCCCAGACUCCUACGGGAGGCAGCAGUGGGGAAUAUUGCACAAUGGGCGGAAGCCUGAUGCAGCGACGCCGCGUGCGGGAUGACGGCCUUCGGGUUGUAAACCUCUUUCAGUAGGGACGAAGCGCGAGUGACGGUACCUGGAAAAGAAGCACCGGCUAACUACGUG
rnacentral:rRNA from 1 species